UAAACAUGAAAAUGUUGCCUAUAUGUUGCU
rnacentral:piRNA from 1 species